UCCAAUCAAUCAGUUUUGACAACAUUCAAAAAAGAGUAA
rnacentral:tRNA from 1 species